AGUUUAACAAAAAAACAUUUUGUUUUGGUUUCAAAAAAUAUUGAAUCUCCUUUUUUCUUAAAAAAAA
rnacentral:tRNA from 1 species